rnacentral:rRNA from 1 species
CACGUAGGGCGCAAGCGUUGUCCGGAAUUAUUGGGCGUAAAGAGCUCGUAGGCGGACUGUCACGUCUGCUGUGAAAGCUAGGGCUUAACCCUGGCCUUGCAGUGGAUACGGGCAGACUAGAGGUAGGUAGGGAGAAUGGAAUUCCCGGUGUAGCGGUGAAUGCGCAGAUAUCGGAGGAACACCGGUGGCGAAGGCGGUUCUCUGGCUACCUGACGCUGAGGAGCGAAGCGUGGGAGCGA